AUUGAACGCUGGCGGCAGGCCUAACACAUGCAAGUCGAACGAGCGGCGGACGGGUGAGUAAUGUAUGGGGAAUGUCCGAUAGAGGGGGAUAACUACUGGAAACGGUAUCUAAUACCGCAUACUAUCGGAUUACCCAGAUGUGAUUAGCUAGUAGGUGGGGUAAUGGCUCACCUAGGCGACGAUCCCUAGCUGGUCUGAGAGGAUGAUCAGCCACACUGGAACUGAGACACGGCCCAGACUCCUACGGAGGCAGCAGUGGGGAAUAUUGCACAAUGGGCGCAAGCCUGAUGCAGCCAUGCCGCGUGUGUGAAGAAGGCCUUAGGGUUGUAAAGUACUUUCAGUGGGGAGGCGUUACCUACAGAAGAAGCACCGGCUAACUCCGUGCCAGCAGCCGCGGUAAUAC
rnacentral:rRNA from 1 species